rnacentral:tRNA from 2 species
GGGUCCGUGGCCUAGUCAGGAUAAGGCGUUGGACUUCUAAUCCAACGAUCCGGGGUUCGAAUCCCCGCGGAUCCGCCA